GGGGGAUAACCUGGGGAAACCCAGGCUAAUACCGCAUACGUCCUACGGGAGAAAGCGGGGGAUCUUCGGACCUUGCGCUAUCGGAUGAGCCUAUGUCGGAUUAGCUUGUUGGUGAGGUAAUGGCUCACCAAGGCGACGAUCCGUAGCUGGUCUGAGAGGAUGAUCAGCCACAUCGGGACUGAGACACGGCCCGAACUCCUACGGGAGGCAGCAGUGGGGAAUAUUGGACAAUGGGCGAAAGCCUGAUCCAGCCAUGCCGCGUGUGUGAAGAAGGCUUUCGGGUUGUAAAGCACUUUCAGUGAGGAAGAAGGCCUUGGGGCUAAUACCCCCGAGGAAGGACAUCACCCACAGCGGG
rnacentral:rRNA from 1 species